rnacentral:rRNA from 1 species
AUAUUGGUCAAUGGGCGUAAGCCUGAACCAGCCAAGUAGCGUGAGGGAAGACUGCCCUAUGGGUUGUAAACCUCUUUUGUGCGGGGAUAAAGUGUGGGACGUGUCCCAUAUUGCAGGUACCGCACGAAUAAGGACCGGCUAAUUCCGUGCCAGCAGCCGCGGUAAUACGGAAGGUCCGGGCGUUAUCCGGAUUUAUUGGGUUUAAAGGGAGCGCAGGCCGUCCUUUAAGCGUGCUGUGAAAUGCCGCGGCUCAACCGUGGCACUGCAGCGCGAACUGGAGGACUUGAGUACGCACGAGGUGUGCGGAAUUCGUGGUGUAGCGGUGAAAUGCUUAGAUAUCACGAAGAACUCCGAUUGCGAAGGCAGCUUACCGGAGCGCAACUGACGCUGAGGCUCGAAAGCGCGGGUAUCGAACAGGAUUAGAUACCCUGGUAGUCCGCGCGGUAAACGAUGGAUGCCCGCCGUUGGGAUUUAGAUUUCAGCGGCCAAGCGAAAGCGUUAAGCAUCCCACCUGGGGAGUACGCCGGCAACGGUGAAACUCAAAGGAAUUGACGGGGGCCCGCACAAGCGGAGGAACAUGUGGUUUAAUUCGAUGAUACGCGAGGAACCUUACCCGGGCUUGAAUUGCAGGAGAACGAUCCAGAGAUGGUGAGGCCCUUCGGGGCUCCUGUGAAGGUGCUGCAUGGUUGUCGUCAGCUCGUGCCGUGAGGUGUCGGCUCAAGUGCCAUAACGAGCGCAACCCCUGUCCAUAGUUGCCAUCAGGUUAUGCUGGGCACUCUGUGGAGACUGCCGCCGUAAGGUGUGAGGAAGGUGGGGAUGACGUCAAAUCAGCACGGCCCUUAC